rnacentral:rRNA from 1 species
UACGUAGGGGGCAAGCGUUGUCCGGAAUCAUUGGGCGUAAAGAGCGUGUAGGCGGCCUGCUAAGUCGGAUGUGAAAUCCCUCGGCUCAACCGAGGAACUGCAUCCGAUACUGGCGGGCUUGAAUCCGGGAGAGGGAUGUGGAAUUCCAGGUGUAGCGGUGAAAUGCGUAGAUAUCUGGAGGAACACCGGUGGCGAAGGCGGCAUCCUGGACCGGUAUUGACGCUGAGGCGCGAAAGCUAGGGGAGCAAACGGGG